UAAACGUUAACAAUUUCAUAGGUGUUAAGAGGACUUGUAUGUGUGACAAUGUGAAUAGCAGAUUAAUUAGCAGUUCUGUCCUGAUAGUUGGAGAUAAGUUACCUUGGAUUCCUUGUUUAUUUUCUGCAGAUUUUUAUCGGCGAUAACUGUUUAUGAUGCCUCCUGAGGACGAAAACCGUAGUUGUCAAAGUGCAUCUCUGGAUAUACUUAGCAACCUUCAAGGGGAUGUAAUCGAUGAGAUUCUAAUACGUUUACCUUUCGAAGAUGCUGUGAGAACAAGCAUCUUAUCGAAAAAGUGGAGAUAUGAUUGGUGUAGACUUCCAGAGUUGGCCCUUAAUCAACAAGCUUUGAGGGCUUCGACGAACACAAUACCCCUUGCACUAACAUUUACAAACAUUGUCAACCAUAUUUUGACCCUUCAUUCAGGACCAAUUACUAAGUUUACCCUCAACUUGGAUCCGUAUCUGAUACCCCGUCCUACAUUUGACAACUUGAUAUAUUUCCUUUCUAAGAAUGACAUUCAGCAUCUUCUUCUUAGAUUUCCAUCGGGUAUUAACCCAUACAAAUUGCCUUCAUCAUUUUUCACCUGUUUGCAGUUGAGGCAUCUGACUCUCCAAAGUUGCUUAAUAGAGCUUCUUCCACCGGCCUUUAGAGGAUUUGAUAAGCUUCGUAGCCUUGAACUACAUUGCUCGCAAUUUCUUCCAAGUUGCUCGAAAGUUUAAUCUCUAGUUGCUCAUUUCUCGAGCAUUUGCUGCUGCAAAUCUCAGAAACUUCAAAUGUUAUUGAAAUUAAGGCUCCAAAGCUGAAAUCUUUUGAUUUCAAAGGCAAUAUAAGAUUUAUUUGGUUAAAGCAUAUCCCUUUGCUGGAGAAAGUUUCGCUUACCGAAAAUGGUUCUUCUGCGGAGGCAGGAAAUUGUGACAUUGCUAAGUUUUUUAAGUCUUUUUCUGUUGUUGAGUAUCUCAAAUUGGAUAGCAGUAGUCUCAAGUUAUUUGCUGUGGGAGCAGGUGGAGUACCAACAAGGCUUCCCUUUGAUCUCAACUCUAUCAAAAGUCUUUACCUAUCCGAUAUUUAUCUGGAUGACUUGGAUGUGGUUUCGUGUGCUCUUUGCCUAAUAAGAAGUUUCCCAUACUUAAAGUAUUUGGAAAUCCAGGUGGGCCAUUGUUAUGAGGAUAUUCCAGCUCUGGAAUGUCUUGAAGUGGAAGGUUUCUCGGGUGUGACUAUAGUCGCCUUAGGGAAGUUAAUCUAAAUGGUGAUUUGGCCACAGAGCCUGGGAUGCAGCUUGUCGAGCUUCUGUUAGCCAAGUCACCCGCGCUGGUGAGAAUGUUGAUCGAGACCUGGAUAAAUGAUGAUAAUCCCUGGCAACUAACUCAGUCUCUUUUCAAGACAGACGAAUUGGCCGCUGUUCUAAAAGAAUUUCGACGUGCAUCAUAUAAAGCAGAAGUUGUGUAUAACGUCGAGUAUGAUCGAGAUUUGGACUAUCUCUUGUAAUGAGGCUUAUACUGAUAUGUCAUUGUUUCUGUAUUAUAUUGUGGUUGUUGUGUGUUAAUUCCAUUCUUGGUCAAUUACCUACGGCAAGCCUGAAGCCUUUUUUUCAAGAACCUAAUGUGUGUAAGGUUGAGCCAUAGAGAUUUGAUGAUAUUAACAGUCCCCCAACUCUAGUAGCACUGAUAUGGACUUUCUUUGUAAUUAUUCAUUGUGAUUCAGCGAUAUUCAAUACG